CCUUUGGAGCUACCUUAUUCAAACAUGGUAAGGAAUCCAGACUCUGCACGCAGGACAGCCCACUGUACAGGCCCAACCCAACCGAACUCACCGCCUGAUCUGAGCUUCGGCCCAAGAGACUCGAAGACCUGAUCCCGAACAUCAUACACCACAAUAGGGAUCCGACCUAAAGGACUCGGACAUCGAACCCGAACACCUUCAGCAUCUCCGAGGGCCUCAUCGUAUACGUUCGACAUAUAACACAAAAUUUUCUACUCAAAUAAUCAUGUAAUCAAAAUAUUGGAUUUGAAACUUGGUUUACUAUGUUAACCAAUAUUUAGAUAAAUAUCUGCUACUUUUAUAACAACUUACUUCAUUAAUCCAACUUGUGACACUCAUGGUACUUCCAGCCAUAGCACCUCACAUUAAUAGAACUUAACAUACCAUAGCACAUAUUGCUUUAAACAUCAGCUAUCCCUUUGUGACUACAACAGUCGGGAUUUAAAAUCUUGACCAACAUAAAAGUUGAAAAUAGUUCAUUACUUAUCACACAUAUUACAUAACAUAACCCAUACUACUUAUCUACCAAGCCUUUCUUCUCGGACAUUCAUUCGCUNNNNN
rnacentral:lncRNA from 1 species